AAGGUCGUUAACUUUAUUCCUUCUUCCUUUGAUUAUCUUCUUUAUAGCCACCAGUUUGGUAUUUAAAUUAAGGUAUUUUCCUGUGUCAAGCUACCUUUCAAGUGUAAUAAAAAGCUUGGCAAUGAGCAGAUUGAGGUGGGAAGGCGAUAAACUUUCUUUUACUGGCGUGUUUGAUGUUCGAGGGACACAUCUCAAGACAAUGAAAUCCACAAAAAAUCAGCAUCAAGCUUCCUCGUGUGCUUUCAAUGAAUUGAGCGCUUCGCAAGGGCACGAAUCUAAGCGUUGUCUUUGACAAAGAGUUUUUAAUUGGGGAUUCUUUGGAGACCUACAGAUCUAUCACUGACGCUUCCCCAAUAAAAAUUCAACAGGAUUUUUGGAUUAACUCAGACAGUAUAUGGAAAGAUGCUGUUGAAUACUCAUCUGAAAAUGUCACUGUGGACCAAUGCUUAUUUCAAAACAUGGAAUUAAUAAUUGGUGAAAGUCAAUAUUGCCAAGAUAA